rnacentral:rRNA from 1 species
UGGCGGACGGGUGAGUAACGCGUGGAUAACCUGCCGUAUACUGGGGGAUAACACUUAGAAAUAGGUGCUAAUACCGCAUAAGCGCACAGUCUCGCAUGAGACGGUGUGAAAAACUCCGGUGGUAUACGAUGGAUCCGCGUCUGAUUAGCUUGUUGGCGGGGUAACAGCCCACCAAGGCGACGGUCAGUAGCCGGCCUGAGAGGGUGAACGGCCACAUUGGGACUGAGACACGGCCCAAACUCCUACGGGAGGCAGCAG